CGCGUAGGCGGAAUUGCAAGUCACGAGUGAAAUUCCAGGGCUUAACCUUGGAGCUGCUUGUGAAACUGCAAAUCUAGUGGAAAGAUGGAGAAAAUGGAAUUUCCCGUGUAGCGGUGAAAUGCGUAGAUAUGGGAAGGAACAUCGGUGGCGAAAGCGAUUUUCUAAUCUUCGCCAGACGCUGAAGCGCGAAAGCGAGGGGAGCAAACA
rnacentral:rRNA from 1 species